UACGGGGGGGGCAAGCGUUGUUCGGAAUUACUGGGCGUAAAGGGCUCGUAGGCGGCCCUCUCAGUCGGAUGUGAAAUCCCCAGGCUCAACUUGGGAACGGCAUCCGAUACUGGAGGGCUUGAAUUCGGGAGAGGGAUGCAGAAUUCCAGGUGUAGCGGUGAAAUGCGUAGAUAUCUGGAGGAAUACCGGUGGCGAAGGCGGUCUGCUGGGCAGUAGCUGACACUGAGGCGCGACAGCGUGGGGAGCAAACAGG
rnacentral:rRNA from 1 species